UGGGGAAUCAUGGUCAAUGGGCGAAAGCCUGAACCUGCGACGCCGCGUGAGUGAUGAAGGUCGUAAGAUCGUAAAACUCUUUUCAGGGAUCUUAACGCACAGCUGUCAACAACAGCUGUGUCUGACUCUCCCUGGAAGAAGCCCCAGCCAACUACGUGCCAGCAGCUGCGGUAAUACGUAGGGGGCGAGCGUUAUCCGGAUUCAUUGGGCGUAAAGCGCGCGUAGGCGGCUUGUUAAGUCAGGUGUCAAAUCCAGGGGCUCAACCCUUGUCCGCACCUGAAACUGGCAGGCUUGAGUUUGGUAGAGGAAGAUGGAAUUCCCAGUGUAGCGGUGAAAUGCGCAGAUAUUGGGAGGAACACCGAUGGCGAAGGCAGUCUUCUGGGCCAUAACUGACGCUGAGGUGCGAAAGCUAGGGGAGCAAACA
rnacentral:rRNA from 1 species